UACGUAGGGCGCAAGCGUUUAUCCGGAAUUAUUGGGCGUAAAGAGCUCGUAGGCGGUUUGUCGCGUCUGCCGUGAAAGUCCGGGGCUCAACUCCGGAUCUGCGGUGGGUACGGGCAGACUAGAGUGAUGUAGGGGAGACUGGAAUUCCUGGUGUAGCGGUGAAAUGCGCAGAUAUCAGGAGGAACACCGGUGGCGAAGGCGGUUCUCUGGUCUGCUCUUGACGCUGAGGCGCGAAAGCUAGGGUAGCAAACGGG
rnacentral:rRNA from 1 species